GCGGGUGUGGCGGAACUGGCAGACGCGCGGGAUUUAGGAUCCCGUGGCCGCAAGGCCUUGCAGGUUCGACUCCUGUCACCCGCA
rnacentral:tRNA from 1 species